CAAUGGACACAAUGUCACCUCUGACGCUAUGCCUCACACUUGGAAAAUAGGUAAAUUAAAUAUCUAAUUAUCACAAUUACCACAAACUGUAUGUUGACAUACAUGGAAAAAAUAGACCUAAAAGAUAUUCUGGUGCUCAUAGUUCAAGUGUAGAUUGUUGUUGGCAAGCGUUUAGCAGUUAAGGACUCAUCAUUCACACCGAUUGGCAAUGAUGCAACGCACCAUUACUGCCUGACAGGAAUUUGGUGGUAAACAACUGAUGCAACAGUCCAAUGGUUCAUUUCUGAAAUCCAGUGUAACAGUUUGUAAUUUGUUACAUAAGUGCGCCACUCUUGCUCAUCUGUGUGUCGCGCCAGUAGACACAGAGAGGGGUGCAGGGGUGUGGUCCGCCCUCUGUUUGUCCGUUCUCUCCGUCAGCCAUUUUCAACACCCUUUCUCCAGCCAAUUUGGUUUAGCAUCUUUUGCCCCCUUAAAGCAGUCUCUAUCAGCUCUGGAGUACCCACACCUGGGCCUGUUGUGGACAUGCUGACCGGCACUUUCACCUCAAAAUCCAAAGGCCCCCAACAAGCCAACCCUCUGCAAGUGUUUACUAAAUUAUGGACUUCUACAAAAGACGAACUUCCAUCUGUCCCCAGGGACAGAAUUUCUUCAACAAGGCCCAUCCUUCCAGCAUAAUCUGUGACAAUAGCACAGGAUUUUAAGGGGGUCAAAGCAACUUACAAAACAGGAUUGGAAAAGACUCCAAUUAGAAUCCCCAGGGGGUUUCAAAGCUGUCUUUCCGCACGGAUGGAGGAGGAUCGAGUGCCUGGUGGAGUUCACUUUGACCAAAGCUAUAGUCAGCCAACACUACAGCACCAGUGCUCCUGUUGAAUGUACUGUAG